UGCAGAAUCCCGUGAAUCACCGAGUCUUUGAACGCAAGUUGCGCCCAAAGCCUUUAGGCUGAGGGCACGUCUGCCUGGGCGUCACGU
rnacentral:rRNA from 1 species